AUUUUGGAUGGCUGUUUGAAUGAGAACCUACUUUUUUUUGUUUUUGGUGAGGUUAAUGUGAAACCAAUGUGUCUGUUGUGCCAGAAGACUAUUGCUGUGUGUGUUAAAGAAGGCUGACUUAAAAACGCCAUUAUGAAACCGCUCGCCUGGACUAUCAUACCCGAUUGUGAGAGCUUAGAAAAGAUAAGGUGCAUAAACUUGUUGCAAGUUUUCGUGAACAGCAAAACGUGUUUGGCUACAAUUAGAAAUAUACUCAACAAAUGCAGCGAUUGUGAUUAGGCGGUUUUGUUUUGCAAGGGUAUUAGCUGUUCCCUUUUAUUGACAUUCAUCAUUACGGAUAUUCAGUUAAUUUCGGAUUGAAAACCACGUUCAGAUUUUUUAUAGUAUAACUUUAAUUGUAUAAUUGAUGCUUGUUGGUGAUUGUCGAACAGCACACGGCGCUAAACCACGAAGCCGAGUUUAAUUGCCCCACACGUGUUCUAAAUUGAGUGAACUGAUAAUUAUUUUGGAACCAAUCAUUGAAUUGGCUAAUUGUCACCAAAAAGGACACCUGUGAAUUCGCGUUGUCUUUUGAUCAAAUAUUACGGGAGCAGGAUGCAGCGAGAAACCUGCAGCGAAGGAGGAUGUGAAUUAUAUUUAGCUACUUUGUGUUUGUUUUAUGUUAUUCUACGUUUUCGACUUUUUUUUUUUAAGUAAACAAGUUACGCGCUUUCCUUGACUGAAUUCGGCGUCAAUGAAGAAUAUCUAAUGUGUCUGGAAACUCUCUCCGAAAAAGGCUCUGAUACCCUGACCAUGCAGUGCAGCUCUGGAGGGUAAUGGACACUGCAGUUGCAGGAGGCCGUGUCUGUUGGGUUUACCAGUCCUCCUCAUUCUGGAAAAGACAGGUGCUGUGGCCGAAGUCCAUGGGAGGAGAAGAUUUCAGUGGUGAUCGAUGAGACAGGCUGGCUUGGGUCGGCCUGGGUGUUCUUGCAUCACAGCGCAACAGCGACCCCUGUAGACUGGCCGGGCGCCUGCAGGCUAGCCUGAAAACAUCGGUUAUGUAUAGAACAUAUUAGGAGGCUGUGUGGUCCAGUGGUUAAAGAAAAGGGCUUGUAACCAAGAUAUCCCCGGUUCAAAUCCCACCUCAGCUACUGACUCACUGUGUGACCCUGAGCAAGUCACUUCACCUCCUUGUGCUCCGUCUUUCGGGUGAGAUGUAAUUGUGUUGAAGAUCAGUACUAUCUGACUGUCCUAUUCAUGGGAACCAGCUCGGCCUCAGUGAUGUUUGGGAUGUUAACUGACAAUGCAGUACACUGUAUCAAAGCAUACAGAGCAGCACUGAAAUGUGUCAUGCCCAACAGUGUAAAGUGACAUGUCUGUCACAAUCAAUCCGAUAGGCGAGACAUGGGAGCAUUUUCACUUUAGCGAUGUGGCAUCUUUAGUUACUUGGAUGAAGUCUUCAGAAAGCGAAGAUGGGUUGCUUUUCUGAAGUCAAAGAUGUGCACACCACAAAAGUCUGUCCCCCUGAAGCAAUACCUACAAGAUGAAAUAGCUGGUUUCAGGCAGUAAAAUACCAUGCAGAGCACAUUUGAUCACUACCAGGACUUUUUUGAAAGAAAAAUCAGCACAGGCUGUGACAAACCUUCUGAUGUUACUUAAGUCAGGAGAAAUUGACUUGCUGAAAUUUGACAGCUUUCAUGUCUGAAGCUGGUAACAGCCCUGACCAUAUUUUGAGGGUACCCAGCACCCUACAGCUGUCUCAGCUUUCAACAUCAUGGAAGACCUGGGGUCUAUUGAAUUGUGGAACAGCCAAAACCUGUGGGUGUGGUGAAGAAACUAACACUUUUGGAUGACCUUACCAUGAGAGAAGAGAAAUAUCCUGGACAAUCUACAUGAGCUUGCUUUUUUACCAAAUUCUCCAAACGGUGGGAUGUCCAUCCUGCAAAAGAAGUGUUUUGACUAAUGUGUGUGUUUUGAUCCCAGGCCGACUCCAGCCAUGCAACAAAACGGUGAUCAGUACAGAAGCCGACACCUCUUGCCCACCCCUCACCAGAGCUGUGUGUGAACAAUGGGUGGUUCUACGCAACACUCUGAAUGAGCCCAUCCCUGAUCCACUGGAUCUUUCAACUUACUGGAAGGUCAUGAAGGGAAGAGUGCCCAAAGUAGCAGAGGUUGCCCUACCUUGAAUCUCCCCUGUUACCUCUGUAGACAGAGAACCUUUAUUAAAUAUAAAACUUUACUUGGAAGAGAGGGAGUCACUUUCUGAGGAAAACAUGAAAAAGCUAAACUGUUAUGUACCACAAUGGAGAUGUCUGCCAGAGAUGGUAAAAAUAAUUACCUUUUAAGUUAAUCAAUUUGCAAUGUUGCCACCAAGCAACAAACUGUUAAUUUGAUAGUUUAUAUUUCAUUUGAAAUUUAAUAUAAGCAUUCCUUCAGAAUAUAGGAAGCAAGAAAGUACUGAGUAAUUUAGAAUGGUACCAAGAACUGCUGCAAGGAUUAAUUUUCUGUUCAGUAAAUUCAUAUAAAUAUUAAAAUUGACAGAGGCUCUUACUUCUGUGGACUUGUUACUGUUCAAUUAUGUCAGCUUGGACAUAUUACCGAGUGCUACUUUUAAAGUGACUUAAAGUUUACCAUAUACUGUACCUGCAAUACCUAAUUACAAAAUACUUUAAAUUAUAAAAGAUACAAAGCAGCUAUAUUUGUUAGACACACAGAUCUGGGCCAACCAUCUUGCAAGCUACAGCCGUGCGCGCGCCGCUGCCAGGGUGAAAUACUUCUCUGAAAUCAUAACUAUGGGACACGGUAAACCCAAUGUUCUCUUUUAAGACCAUUGAGCAAAUCCUACAUCCAUCCAGACACCGACAGAUCCAUCUCCCAUUCAUCCUCUCCUCUUCCCUGUCAUGAUUUUUCCUCUUUCAGAACAAAAC